ensembl:lincRNA
AUGCAAAUCACUUCCCGCAGCCCGGCACCGAGGGUCCCCGCGUCCCCGCUCCGCUCCUGCUCCGGCCCACACAGGGCCAGGCCUGGGGCACCUCCUGCAGCCCGCGUGGCUCAGCUGCUCAGAAAUGUCACAGCCACGCCCAGCGGGGGCCACGCCCAGCCAGGCCGGCCCUGCCGGGGUCCCUGCGUCCCCAGCUCAGAGGCACCGCGGCGGGCAGUCAACAGCCGGAGAACUGCAAAGCACCGGCAGACGGUCAAAGGGCUUCUGGGAAAAGGACAGGACCCGCAGCUGGACGCCGGCCCCGGGCGACUUUCUCAAGUCAGGGGCCGUAUUUCUUCUCCACCCUCCUCUGACCUUCGCUCCAAACUGCCGGCUGACGCAGCUCUGCUUGGCUUCACCGUGGGAACCACAAACUCGGUGACCAGCCCGUCCUGCUGGGCCCUGCUCGGAGCGGUCGGGGAACUCAGCCCCAGGACAGUCGUUCGAGUCACGCACUGCAGCAGCUGCUUCUCCCCGCCAGCCCCUGCUGUGGCGUCGAGGUGCUGUUUUUCUUCCCAGUUGCUCAGGGAGGAAGACAUGGGCUGUCCCCGCUGUCCCCCACGCUGCCCAAGUCCCAGGUUCAGGCUCCUGCGGGUCCUCAAGGUCCUUCUGAAGGGCUUCAGCCUCUCUUGUUUGAAUCCGGUCCCCUCCUCUACAUCCAGGCAAGGGGCAUGUAGGACAAAGGGGCACAUGAGUGCUACUGGGGUCCCUACACCACAGGCAGCACUGCCUGCACGGCCCCUCAAAACUGCACCAGAGCAGGUGUGGUGGUGCACGUCUGUUUUCCCAAUACUUGGGAGGCUGAGGCAGAAGGGCUGCUGUGAGUUCGAGGACAGCCCAGGCUACAUAGUGAGAUGCUGUCUCAAAAAAAGCAAAAAAAGCUGCACCAAAUCUAUGGCACAUCAUGGAGGGACCUUGAGGACGCCGUGCUCUGUGAGAGACGCCAGACACAGAGGACGCACAGCGUGGGCUCCACGGACAGGAAACGCCCAGGACAGGCGAAGCCAGAGACAGGAAGUGGACUGAAGUGCCGGGCCUGGGGAGGCGACGUGUGACUGAUCACAGGGACAGGGCUUCCUUCUGGGUGAUGGGAAUGCUCUAAAAUUGAUAGUAGUGAUUGCACAAGUCUUGAAUGUUCUAAAAGCCAUUGAGUUACACACUUAAAAUGGGUGAACUUUAGAAUGUGUAAGUUUUAUCUUAAUGAAGCUGUAAGAAAAUAAAUGAUAGGGAACAACAUUAGCAGGAGACAGGGUCCUAGCUGGGUGUGGUGGCGCAUGCCUAUAAUCCUAGCACUUGGGAGGCUGAGGCAGAAGGAUCACUGCGAGGUUGAGGCUAGCCUGAACUACACAGCAAGACCCUGUCUCAAACCACCCCCCACAAAAAAAGAGAUGAGGCCCUUCAUCCAAAUGGAUUUUUUUCAUAUGAAUCUAUUGUUAAAAGCAUCAUUUAAGAAAAAAUAUCCCUUGGGAGGCUGAGGCAGGAGAAUCACAAGUUCAAGCCUGUCUGGGCAA